AUCGAACGCUGGCGGCAGGCCUAACACAUGCAAGUCGAACGAGUGGCGGACGGGUGAGUAAUGUCUGGGAAACUGCCUGAUGGAGGGGGAUAACCACUGGAAACGGUAGCUAAUACCGCAUACCAUCGGAUGUGCCCAGAUGGGAUUAGCUAGUAGGUGGGGUAAAGGCUCCCCUAGGCGACGAUCCCUAGCUGGUCUGAGAGGAUGACCGGGCACGCGGGAACUGAGACACGGUCCAGACUCCUACGGGUGGGAGCGGUGGGGAAGAUUGCACAGGGGUCGCAGGCCUGAUGGAGCCAUGCCGGUUGUAUGUGGAAGGCCUUGGGGUUGUAAGGUACGUUGAGCGGGUCGGCGUUACCCGCAGAAGAAGCACCGGCUAACUCCGUGCCAGCAGCCGCGGUAAUAC
rnacentral:rRNA from 1 species